AACAAAAGAAAAAGGAUACGAAAUUGUGAUAGAAUAUGACAACUUUGUGAAGACUACUAGAUAUAUUACAAAAUUUUUAAUAGUAGUACUCUACGUGGCAAUCGAAUAGAAAUGAUUUCCUUUCCUCAAACUCCCCGUAAUAUUGUUACAUGGUUUUUACAUGGUCUGGGGGGUAACAUUAAAUGACACUUUUUAUGUGAAAUCACAAACAUCGGAGUCAAUCGAAGUUUUUCAAAUUCCAACAGUAGAGCAAACUUGGUAUUCCGAUUUCAACAAGAGCGCACAUGAGGGCCACCGCCGUCGUGAGCCCAAGGCAGUUGUGACUGGGUACCGCUUGGUCCAUUGCGGCUGUUCCAACGCUGCCCCCCACAGCCUCACCCCUGAACCCCCCCAGGAGCACAGGGAAGGGGGUCCUCAAAAGUGGGCGAGGCCGCUGCCCGCAGGAACUGUCCACUUCAAGGUCACCAUGGAGAACCCGAGACGGGGCUCGGCGUGGCCCAGGACUCCCCAACUUUGAGUUCAAGUCUCGCUCUCUGCGCCGCGCCCCUCGCCCCAUCCCGAGCAGCGACCCCAAAGCUCCCAGGGGCUCCGCCGCGGCGAUUCCUCACAUUGCGCGUGGCGGCCAACAAGGCCCAGGAGCCUGAAUUCGGCGCCUCCACGCCCCCGCCCGAGGCCUAAGACCCCCGAACGCCACGUCACAGCGUAGCCCAGAACCAUCCCCUUAUUCUUUUUCGCCCUCUCAACCCAGCUUUUCCCGACUCCGGGAAGAACCGGGAAGAGAAGGCGGAGGGGAGCGAAGCGCCGCCUAAUAAAUACUGUGGCUCAGUCCCGCCCCCAGAACAUCACUUCCGCCCCGCGCCAACAUGGCGGCGCCCAGACCAUGCCACGCAGACUUCCGUUCGGCGCGGAGACCGAAGGCUAGCUGCAGGUCGCGUCUCUGGUGAAGUCGUGAGCGUGGUGUGGGGCCGCGGUCCGGGCAACAUGUCGGAAGGAAACGCCGCCGGCGAGCCCAGCACUCCGGGAGGGCCCCGACCCCUCCUGACCGGGGCUCGGGGGCUCAUCGGGCGGCGGCCGGCGCCCCCCCUCACUCCCGGCCGCCUUCCCUCCAUCCGUUCCAGGGACCUCACCCUCGGGGGAGUCAAGAAGAAAACCUUCACCCCAAAUAUCAUCAGUCGGAAGAUCAAAGAAGAGCCCAAGGAAGAAGUAACUGUCAAGAAGGAGAAGCGUGAAAGGGACAGAGACCGACAGCGAGAGGGGCAUGGACGAGGACGAGGCCGCCCAGAAGUGAUCCAGUCCCACUCCAUCUUUGAGCAGGGCCCAGCCGAAAUGAUGAAGAAAAAAGGAAACUGGGAUAAGACAGUGGAUGUGUCAGACAUGGGACCUUCUCAUAUCAUCAACAUCAAAAAAGAGAAGAGAGAGACAGACGAAGAAACGAAACAGAUCUUGCGCAUGCUGGAGAAGGACGAUUUCCUCGAUGACCCCGGGCUGAGGAACGACACUCGAAAUAUGCCUGUGCAGCUGCCGCUGGCUCACUCAGGAUGGCUUUUUAAGGAAGAAAAUGACGAACCAGAUGUUAAAUCGUGGCUGGCUGGCCCCAAGGAAGAGGACAUGGAGGUGGAUGUACCUGCUGUGAAAGUGAAAGAGGAGCCUCGAGAUGAGGAGGAGGAGGCCAAGAUGAAGGCUCCUCCCAAAGCAGCCAGGAAGACCCCAGGCCUCCCGAAGGACAUAUCUGUGGCAGAGCUGCUCAGGGAGCUAAGCCUCACCAAGGAGGAGGAACUGCUGUUUCUCCAGCUGCCAGACACCCUCCCUGGCCAACCGCCCACCCAGGACAUCAAGCCCAUCAAGACAGAGGUACAGGGCGAGGAUGGCCAGAUGGUACUCAUCAAGCAGGAGAAGGACCGGGAAGCCAGACUGGCAGAGAAUGCUUGUACCCUGGCUGACCUGACAGAGGGUCAGGUUGGCAAGCUACUCAUCCGCAAGUCUGGAAGGGUGCAACUCCUCCUGGGCAAGGUGACUCUGGACGUGACCAUGGGAACUGCCUGCUCCUUCCUGCAGGAGCUGGUGUCCGUGGGCCUUGGAGACAGUAGGACAGGGGAGAUGACAGUCCUGGGACACGUGAAGCACAAACUUGUAUGUUCCCCUGAUUUUGAGUCUCUCUUGGAUCACAAACACCGGUAAAAUGAGCAGAUGGAGGAGGACGGCGCCUGUGCCCACGGCUGCUGCCUGCUCCAGACAUUUUGUUCUUGAAUCUGUGAGACCCGAAAGGGGCCCACUGAGCCUACGCACUCCAGCCGUUGGCAGCCAUUGUCCCAGAUUUCCCCUGGGCUUCCUCCCACAGCAGCUGUCAAUGGCACAGUGACCUUCCCGCAGCGUGGAGUUGGCAUAUCCUUGCUGCUGGGGACUUGGCCCUGCUAUUUAUUUUUAUAUUUAUGUCUUAAUCUCUUCCACUGAUGCAUCCUACCAAGGUAGGUUGGGAGGGUCUGUGGGAAGGGGCUGGCUUCUCCUGGGGGCUGUUGGGCUGCAGCGACAGAAGUGUGAGAACUGCAGAACUGCAGCUUCUGCUGAUGCUCCAUCCCUCCUCCUAGAAGCAGCAAGGAUUGAGUCUGAGACUUAAGCACUUGGUCCCAGCUUGCCAGUUCCUGGUUCUGUGUCCUUGAACAAACUACCUAACCUUUCUGAGCCUCCUAUUCAUCAUCCGACAUGAGCAUGAGCAGGUUCUCCCUUUCUUACUGUAGGAUACGUGAACUGAACAAAGAUGCUCGAUUCUCCCUCACAGAGGGUUCAUGUGUUGACAUGGAGCAGUGGGCCCAGCCUCAGAUGUCCCUUUUUAGAUAAGCAGUGAAAGAGGAGCCUCAAGAUGAGGAGGAGGAGGCCGCGAUGAAGGCUUGGGGAUGAUACCUACCUCCCCAGGUUGGCGUGAGGAUUCAUGGGCUAUUAAGAGAUGAAAACCCCUGCAUGAGGCCGGAACCAGUAGGCACUCAAUAAACGUCCGUGUCCUUUUUCUCUA